CAGCAGCCGCGGGAAUACAGAGGGUGCGAGCGUUAAUCGGAUUUACUGGGCGUAAAGCGUGCGUAGGUGGUUUGUUAAGUUGGAUGUGAAAGCCCCGGGCUCAACCUGGGAACUGCAUCCAAAACUGGCAAGCUAGAGUACGGUAGAGGGUGGUGGAAUUUCCUGUGUAGCGGUGAAAUGCGUAGAUAUAGGAAGGAACACCAGUGGCGAAGGCGACCACCUGGACUGAUACUGACACUGAGGUGCGAAAGCGUGGGGAGCAAACAGGAUUAGAUACCCCGGUAGUCCCUGUCUCUUAUAC
rnacentral:rRNA from 1 species